GACCUAGAGCUCAAGACCUGAGCCGAGAUCAAGAACUGGGCGCUUAACCGACUAAGCCACUCAGGUGCCCCUAAUUCAACUAUUCUUGCCACCACCAUUAGACUUACUAAAGGACAUGAAGCCAAAUGGGUUGAUUCUGGUCAGUCACUUCCCCAGAUAUGAUGUCCCUAUUAGAGAGAGCUUUUGUAUCUGGCUACUUCAUAGACCCCUGCCCAGACUGUGUAUUGUUGGCUCAAGAGUCUGGUGUCCUCUCUUCUUCCACUCAGAUAUGACUAUUGUUGGGGGUCACAUAGUACAGAACAGAAUCACUGUAUCAGUGAAAGUGACUUUCAUUUGAAUAGGAUUAAAUCAUAAGGGAAUUUAUUUCUUAUAAACUGGCAAGUCCAGCACUAGAAUGGCCUUCAGGUGAGGGUUGAUCCAGUGGUCCAAUGCUGUCUAUUUUUUUCCACUUCACUAUCUACACUGUUGGCUUCAUCUUCUCUUUUAAAGAUGUAUUUAUUUAUUUGAAAGAGAGAGAAAGAGAGAGAUAAUGAGCAGGGGAAGGGCAGAGGGAGAGGGAGAGAAGCAGACUCCCUGCUGAAUGCAGAGCUUAACACAGGGCUCAAUCCUGGGACUGUGGGAUGUGUAUUUGCAUGUGCCUUUGAAAUCAUGACCUGAGAUCAUGACCUGAGCCAAAAUCAACAGUUGGACGCUCAACCCACUGCACCACCCAGGCUGUGUUGGCUUCGUCUUAAGGUUGCUUUCCCUUUAGGCCCUCUUCCGGGCCCCCCUCUAUCCCUUUGGCUAAAAACACAUCCAUUUUUCCUUCAUUUCUUCUUUUAAGUGCUCUCAGAUGCCUAUGACUCAAGGCCAAUGCUUGUAAUUGCCUCUUUUUCAAGUCCCAUCACCCCAGAAACUGGGUAAUAAAAGUUUUUCUAGUCUCUAAAACAUGGAGGUAGUAUUCCCAGUGACUGAGUGUCAUUGCUUUUUUGCAAUGGAUGCUGGAAUUCUCAGGAAUCUCUGAAGUGGAGGCAUCUCAUAGGACCAAGGGAGUAGAUGUACAUUGCGUUUAAUUAUUCAUGUAGGUGUUUAUUUAAUUUAAUUUUGCCUGCUAAGGAUGGAAGCUAGUUUAUUUUAAUGCAGCAACAAAUGCAACACAAAGCACAGAUCUUAAGUGUACAGUUUGAUGAGUUUUGCCUAUGUGUACAUCGAUGUGACUAUCACCCACAUCAGAUAGGGAGCAUUUUUAGCCCCCCAAAAAGCUCACCAUGCCCCUUCCUGGUCAGAACAUCCUUCAAGGUAUUUACAUUUGAAGAGAAUGAUAACUGCUUCAAACCUAAAGCAUGGAGAACAACAAAAUGUACCCCAAUCCAUAUAUCAUCCUCAUAUUUAUCACCAAGACCCCGUGAUUAUAAAGAUUUUGCCAUACAAUAUUCACUGAUUCCCCUUCCCUUGAUGUGUGUGUGUUAAGUAUUUUAAGCAAAUCUCGAAUAUGGCAUCAUUCUAUUUUGAUAUGCAUCUCUAAAAACAUGGAGACUUUCUUACAUAACUAUAGGUACUACUAUUAUCCAUGACUAAAUGACAAGUCCUUGGAGUCAUUUAGCACACAGUACACAUUCCAAUCAGUCCAAUUGUCUUUGUAUAAUUUAUCUGUUCGAAUUGGGAUUCAAUCAAGAUCCAAAGUAGUAAUCUCCAAUUUCUCUCUUUCUCUGUGUUUCUCUCUCUUUUUCUCCUUGUCAUUGACUUGUUGAAAAUACUGGUGAGUUGAGCCUGUAGAAUGUCCUACAUUCUGGAUUUGUCUAUUUCCCAGAGCUGGUGUUUAACUUGUUCCUCCAGCUGCCAUUUGCUUUAUCAACCGGAAGUAAGCUCUAAAGCCUUAAUCCAGUCGAGGUCCAGAUUUUUGCAAGAAUAUGGUGUUGUGUAGGUCACAUUGCAUCACUCCAUGAGCAACAUCAUAUCUGAUGUUCCACUUUAAUGAUACUGAUUCUUGAAUUCAAGUAUUCAUCACCUGAUCUCCAUUUCCUUAUCAACCUUUUAUCAAAUGGUUUCCACAUUAGCUUUAAAUAUUUGCUCUACAAAUAUUUAUCAGGGCUGUUACUGAGUACAUUUUCUAUAUGAGAUAUUGGGGUUAGAAAAGGUGGGCAAAAGAAACCUAUUGCUAAUAAGUAUAAAGACUGUUCACGUAUCCUCAGCCUAUCAGUAUACCGCCCAAAAUUGGGGGUACCUAUUUUGGGAGCAAUUUCCUCACCAGAGGAAAAUAGGAAUGACAAAUGCAAUGGGAGCCCAGUGCUUCCUCAUGUCUGACGAAUCCUAUUACCUUCCCUUCCUCCCCUCUUUCUCAUAUCGUUCUUUCCCUUCAUUUUCCCAUCACUUUGCCUUCAUGAUGUGCCAAUUAUACCGAGGACUGGUGUUGGAGGUGUGGCGUGCUCAAUUAUCCUCGUUUGUAUGCCGUGGUGAUUCAUGGUGGAGCUGGCUCCAUAGCAGAUCAUACAACAGUCUAAUUUUGUGAAAGAGAAAACUGAGCCACAGAAGCCGGGUUACUUGUCCAGUUCACACAGUGACCGGUCCUAAUAAGAAAUGACUGCUUUAUUGAAAGUACCGAGUAUCACAACUUCUGACAAACAGCAGAGAUUUUCUAGGAAGAAAGUUAGUCAGAAGCACGGAGCAGAAAUCUACACCAAAGUCCACCUCAUAAGAAAUUGUUUACACUGUCUCCUCAGGGAAACUCGGGAUAAUACGCAUUUAACAAAGUUGUUUUGGGGCAGCUUCAAGUAGCUGAGAGUUGUAUGUUAGUAGGUCUCAUUUGUGGAAUUCAGACGUUAAGGGCUUUCCUUCCACCUUGAAGAAAAUACGUUACUAACUAGAGAAAAUGACAGUUGAAAUAUUCGGGGGAAAAAAAGAAAAAAGGAAAAACCACUAGAGUCUCUGGAAAGCAGUGUGUGAGACAGCUGUGUGGGAGACAGCAUGAAAAGAUCAUGUUCCUACUUCAUUUUUGUGAGUGCGGAAGACGCACCGGCCACCAGCCACCCUGGUAAAUAUUUGUGGUCUCGAAUUUCACAAACUGCAACACAGUCGGCUUAGCUGCUCCUGUUACAGAGCCUUGGCGACAGGAUCACCAAACUGCCAUGUGGGAGCCUUCUCAGAUGACAAGAUGUGGGAUUCUUAAUCAGACAAGUCUAUUAGGAAAGACUUUCGCAUGCUGCCUCUUUGGAGAAAGGCUCUGAUGGGCCAGAGUUCUGGCCACUGAAUUUUCUUCCUGCACAGAGAAGAAAGGAUGACAUGGUGCCCUUCACGUGGGGCAGGCAAGGUGUCCUUGCCAAGGGGGUCAGCGGGGCACAGGGCCCGCCUACCUCACAGUGGUGUACAUCGGCUCAGAUGGACUCCACUCUGUGGCGUCCCCGUGCUCUGUGACACAUUUCAGUUUCUGGAAAGGGAAGGGCCACCUUGAGGACAUCUGCUGGUCACCCUCCAGCAGAUUAAGACUGAAGACGGGUACUCGCCUUGUGCAGCAACUGCAUAAACAGCCACCUUUUCCAAGCUUUCCCCACGAGGCACUGAGGAUAAAGACAAGGGUCUGAGCUAGAACUCAGAAAGCAGAGGGAACGUUAUUUUCCUCCUUUGUGACAUUAUUACACAUGAAGAAACUGAGGAUUGAGCAAGUCAAGUCACUCAACUCAAGGUCACUCAGCCAAUAAGCGAUGGACUUAGACUGAACCCAGAAUUAUAUCUGAUAAUGAUUUGCUGUGAUUUUCCUGUUAGUGAAUUCCUACCUGCAGGCCCACCACCAUUCCAGAAACUACGCUGACAGCACUUUGUUGAGAGGUGGCAAAUGAAGUGAGAAGGUCAGCAGAGAAUUCAGAAGAGGAUUUUCAAACUGCGAUCCCUGUUUCGACUUGAUGAAUGGAGAACACUGAGGUAGAAGGCGUUACGUCAUUGUCUCAACAUUACACAGGACGUGUUGCUGUUGGAAUUUGCAGGCCGGCAAUUUAAUUUCACAGCCUAUACUUAACCACUUUUUUAUACUGCUUUCCUCUUCUAUAUUUUUGGUGGUGAAUAUGAGAAGAUAAUUUUGAGGGCAUUACGAACUUUCAACUGUCAUGUUAGAAGUUUGGCCACCCAGAGGAGUGACUGCAUACAUACAUAUAGAGAGAAAUUGUCCAGAGUUUAAGUCUCCAGCUAAUCAAGUCUUCCAACCUGGAUGACAGACAUGUGAAUGAAGACUUUGAGAUGAUCCCAACCCCAGCCAUUGUCUGACCACAACUCCUGAGACCUGGACACAGUGAGAACUGCCUAGCUGAGCCCAGUUGACCUCCAGAUUCAGGAGUAAAACAACUGUCAUGGAUUUGCACCACUAUUUUGAGGGGAUUUGUUGUGCAGCGAUAGAUAACUGAUACAGUUGUCCUGUAAACAGUUAGCUCCGAUCGGCCUGGAGCACAGGAGAGAGAGACUUGGCCUGGUGGUAUAGAUUAGGACAUCCUUUAGCAAGGAGAAAGCUCUUGAAGUCACUGGAACCGAUGAAGUCACUGGGGAAAUAAUGUACAUUGAGAAAGGAAAAAAGGACCUAUGAUGCACCUUUAGUAACAACAGUGAGGGGAUCAAAAACAAAGAAGCAUUUGCAAAGAGA